GAUGAACGCUAGCUACAGGCUUAACACAUGCAAGUCGAGGGGUAACGAGAGGAAAGCUUGCUUUCCUUGUCGACGACCGGCGCACGGGUGAGUAACGCGUAUCCAACCUGCCCCCAACUAGGGAAUAACCUUGCGAAAGUAAGACUAAUACCCUAUAAUUUCCUCAGAUGUCAUCUGACGAGGAGUAAAGAUUUAUCGGUUGUGGAUGGGGAUGCGUCUGAUUAGCUUGUUGGCGGGGUAACGGCCCACCAAGGCAACGAUCAGUAGGGGUUCUGAGAGGAAGGUCCCCCACAUUGGAACUGAGACCCGGUCCAAACUCCUACGGGAGGCAGCAGUGAGGAAUAUUGGUCAAUGGGCGGAAGCUUGAACCAGCCAAGUAGCGUGCAGGAUGACGGCCCUAUGGGUUGUAAACUGCUUUUAUACAGGAAUAAAGUUAGCCACGUGUGGUUAUUUGUAGGUACUGUAUGAAUAAGGACCGGCUAAUUCCGUGCCAGCCGCCGCGGUAA
rnacentral:rRNA from 1 species